UCAUUUUGGUCUCCAGCACAAGCUUCUAUGCUGACUGAUUAGAUGAAACUAAUUAACAGCACAAAUUCUUAAGAUGAUGAAGCACAAUCCUCAUCAUUUCCUUCUGUCAACAAUGUGUAGGAAGAAAAAACAUUUGGGGAACAUGUAUAACCAGCAUGCAGGACAACCCAGAAGUGCGGAGUUAACACCCACAGAAGCAACUCAGCAAAUGCUGGCUGAUGUGUCCACGGACAUACACCCGGCUUCUUUCCUCAUCAAUGUGAUUAGCUCCGAGGUGUGCUGUAUAGGAGCCCCCAGAGUUCCUUGGCAGGACUGGGCCCUGGGCUAUAGCUGGUGAGUGAGUCGAUAAUAUGCCCUUUAGUGUCUUCUUUCCUUUCCCUCUCUCACUUCCCUACUCUUCCAUCCAUGUUUCCUGGGAUCACCUCCCAAAUGAAUUGCUCUGCACUUGAAUCCUUGCCCCUAGGUUUACUUUGAGAUAACCCAACUUGAAACUCAUGGGCAGAAUUUUUGCUUCCAUGGUAUACAGGUUUCUAAGUGUGGGCCAGAGUUUACAUAUAAAUACAAAUAGGUUAAGUUGUGAAAGGCUUUUUAUUAGUUUGGCAAUCAAAAGUUCUACUAGAACCUCUGUUUCUACCCAUGAGGGAUUAACAGCCCAGAGAAUUGCCCUCCUACUGUGAAAAAGAAAAAAAAAAAAGAAAACUUCAAGAAUAAGUAUUUUCUGACAUUGAAAAAUAGCCAGAGCAAAAUUGUGUUGUUUGAAAGAAUGAAAACAAAUUUUCUUUAUACUUUCUCCAAACUGUUGCCUGGAGGCAGCUCUAAAGCACUAGGAUAGGAAAAGCCUAACAAAGCUCAGUGGUCUCAUGGCUUCAGCAAGGUGAGGAGAGGAGAGACCAGGGAGGCUGAGGUGGCCAGAAUUCACAGGGCAGAAUACGAGAAAGGAGACAGCCUGAAGAGAAAGAGCUCCGGAAACCUGGAUAGAAACCUCUUCGAGGCUUUGGCUGAGUACUGAUCAGCACAGGCCUGGUUUGAAACCCCACAAGGCUUUGGAAAGAACCUCCUGAAGCAAUUCACAGAGCUCAAACCAGGCUAGAUAGAGUUUGUCAUCUCACCAGCCAAAACGGAAAAACCGGUGAUACAGGGAACUUGCUAGAGGCCUCAGAAGGGUAUCACUCGCAUGGUACAGCUAAAUAAGGCCUACAUCAAAGCCUGCUCUGCACCUGCCAAAAUACAGCAUAAAAUCAGAUUUGAAAAUGUCAACGCCAUCCAAAGCGGUUUAAUUACGUGUUAGGACACAGCCCGACACUCACAUCCCCCGACUUUCACUUCCAUGUUAUGAAGGAACAAAACAACACGGUGUUUGUUGUUUAACCCCCUCGGGCCCCACGCCCUCUGCCUGGAGGAUGCUCUCCCAGAUCUCUAUUUUACUUGCUCCCUCACCUCCUCAGGGGUAUACUCAAAUGUCCCCUUUUCAGUGAAGCCCUCCUUGACCACCCAUUUAAACUUGUAUUCUCCUCCCUACUCCUUAACCUCCUUCCCAGCUUUAUUUUCCUGCGUAGAAUUUUAUCACCAUCUAACUUGCUCUACAUUUUAUGGAUGUAAUUUUUUUGUCAGCGUCCCUUCCCUACAUUAUAACCUUCAUGAAGGCAGGGGUUUUUGUUCUGUGUUCACUGCUAUCUCAUCAAUAUCUAAAGCAGUUCCUAGCACAUAAUAAAUGCUUAAAGAUUAUCUGCUGAAUAAAUAUUUUAGAAAAAUAACUGCAGCUCCAAUGUGUACUGUCUACUAUGAUACAAAAGAAAUAAAAACAUGGUUC
rnacentral:lncRNA from 10 species